AUACGUAGGGUCCGAGCGUUGUCCGGAAUCACUGGGCGUAAAGAGCUCGUAGGUGGUUUGUCGCGUUGUUCGUGAAAACUCACAGCUUAACUGUGGGCGUGCGGGCGAUACGGGCAGACUUGAGUACUGCAGGGGAGACUGGAAUUCCUGGUGUAGCGGUGGAAUGCGCAGAUAUCAGGAGGAACACCGGUGGCGAAGGCGGGUCUCUGGGCAGUAACUGACGCUGAGGAGCGAAAGCGUGGGGAGC
rnacentral:rRNA from 1 species